CACCUCCGCGGGCGGGAUCGACCGCCCGGGCUUCGGCCGCCGACGUGGCCCGCAACGGUUCGCACCCCGAGCCGAGCGGCGGACCGGCUCGUCGCCGUUCCGCAUCCGGCCGAGGCGCAUCGCCGGCCCCCAUCCGCUUCCCUCCCGGAUAUUUCAAGCACUCUUUGACUCUCUUUUCAAAGUCCUUUUCAUCUUUUCCUCGCGGUACUUGUUCGCUAUCGGUCUCUCGCCCGUAUUUAGCCUUGGACAGAAUUUACCGCCCGAUUGGGGCUGCAUUCCCAAACAACCCGACUCGCCGACAGCGCCUCGUGGUGCCGCAGGGUCCGGGCCAGACGGGGCUCUCACCCUCCCCGGCGCCCCUUUCCAGGGGACUUGGGCCCGGUCCGUCGCUGAGGACGCUUGUGGAGUGAUUGAUCAUAACCCUAUUUGAUUUUGAUGAGCUCAAAGCAUUUGAGUAUAUCUUAUGUUUACUAAUGAAUUCAAU
rnacentral:lncRNA from 1 species